UACGGAGGGGACUAGCGUUGUUCGGAAUUACUGGGCGUAAAGCGCACGUAGGCGGAUUUGUAAGUCAGGGGUGAAAUCCCGGGGCUCAACCUCGGAACUGCCUUUGAUACUGCAAAUCUCGAGUCCGGAAGAGGAGUGUGGAAUUCCCGGUGUAGCGGUGAAAUGCGCAGAUAUCGGGAAGAACACCCGUGGCGAAGGCGGCACUCUGGGACGGUACUGGACGCUGAGACGCGAAAGCGUGGGGAGCGAACAGG
rnacentral:rRNA from 1 species